rnacentral:rRNA from 1 species
GACGAACGCUGGCGGCGUGCUUAACACAUGCAAGUCGAACGGUAAGGCCCUUCGGGGUACACGAGUGGCGAACGGGUGAGUAACACGUGGGUGAUCUGCCCUGCACUUCGGGAUAAGCCUGGGAAGCUGGGUCUAAUACCGGAUAGGACUCCUGGCUUCAUGGUUGGGGGUGGAAAGCUUUUGCGGUGUGGGAUGGGCCCGCGGCCUAUCAGCUUGUUGGUGGGGUGAUGGCCUACCAAGGCGACGACGGGUAGCCGGCCUGAGAGGGUGACCGGCCACACUGGGACUGGGAUACGGCCCAGACUCCUACGGGAGGCAGCAGUGGGGAAUAUUGCACAAUGGGCGCAAGCCUGAUGCAGCGACGCCGCGUGAGGGAUGACGGCCUUCGGGUUGUAAACCUCUUUCAGCACCGACGAAGCGCAAGUGACGGUAGGUGCAGAAGAAGGACCGGCCAACUACGUGCCAGCCGCCGCCGUAA